rnacentral:RNase_P_RNA from 1 species
AGUCGGAUAAUCGCGCGCAGAAAAUUUGUGUGAGGAAAGUCCGUGCAUUCAAGGACAGGUCGCCGGGGAAAGCCCGGACGGUGCGAGCCGGUGGAAAAGUGCUACAGGAAAUAUACUGCUAACGGCUUUUUUCGAAAGGUACGAGCGAUGGUGCAACGGUGAGUUAAGAGCUUCACCAGCGGUAUCGAGAGGUAUCGGCUAAGUAAACCCCGACCGAAUGCAAGAUUGAAUUGAAGGUUAUAAAGGUGUCCGCCCACUUCUAAAAAAUCGCUAGAGAUUGUGAGUAAUCACAAUACCAGACAGAUGAUUAUCUAAAACAGAACACGGCUUACGGGCUGCUUUA